rnacentral:rRNA from 1 species
AUGAUGAACCAUGUCCAGAUCAUGUCGCGCCGCAUGGUCCUACCGGAGCCGACUUCGCUACCGCCGGAGCCGGAGAGGACCAUCGACCUCACGCCGUGGGACCUCUCGAUGGUCGCCUUGGAGUACAACCAGAAGGGCAUCGUCCUGCCCAACCCUCCCGCCACACAAGAAGGAGAAGGACGGGGACACCACGCCGUCGUCGAACGCCUGGCAUCGUCCUUCGCGCGUGCCCUGGGCCGUUUCUACCCCUACGCCGGUCGCCUCGCCGUCACUGUGGGGAGCUAG